rnacentral:rRNA from 1 species
AUUGAACGCUGGCGGCAUGCCUUACACAUGCAAGUCGAACGGUAACAGGUCUUCGGAUGCUGACGAGUGGCGAACGGGUGAGUAAUACAUCGGAACGUGCCUAGUAGUGGGGGAUAACUACUCGAAGAGUGGCUAAUACCGCAUGAGAUCUACGGAUGAAAGCAGGGGAUCGCAAGACCUUGUGCUACUAUAGCGGCCGAUGGCAGGUUAGGUAGUUGGUGGGAUAAAAGCUUACCAAGCCGACGAUCUGUAGCUGGUCUGAGAGGACGAUCAGCCACACUGGGACUGAGACACGGCCCAGACUCCUACGGGAGGCAGCAGUGGGGAAUUUUGGACAAUGGGCGCAAGCCUGAUCCAGCAAUGCCGCGUGCAGGAUGAAGGCCUUCGGGUUGUAAACUGCUUUUGUACGGAACGAAAAGCCCUGGGUUAAUACCCUGGGGUCAUGACGGUACCGUAAGAAUAAGCACCGGCUAACUACGUGCCAGCCGCCGCCGUAACAC